UGAAACUUGGGCAGUGAAGAAGAUUAGGUUCAGGAGGAAUGUGUUACACCACUUGUCAGCAAUGAUGGAUAGAGUAAAAGAGUAAAAAUUACAGGUUUUUACAAAUGCUGAAGUUGAGGUAUGUAUACGUCUUUUUUUUUAUAUUUCACUUCCUUUAGUUAUGUUGUAAUAUAAAUGACCUAUUGUGCUGUUGAUAACCUAUAUUCUUGGAUAUUUGUUAUUUUAUAUGUUUUUUGUUUUUAUUUUUCUGUUUGUUUAUAACCUUCACUUGGGGCACAACAAGCUCAAUGUUCACAUGUACAAGAAAUACAGACUGGCACCAUCACCGACCUAUCAAUGUGGUGAGCAAGAUCAGAUUACUGAGCAGUUACUCCAGAAAUGUAAAAGGCAUGACCAGGAGCGAACUGCGACUUGGCCGAUAGAUACCUCAAUCCUCCAGAAAUUGUAUGAAGGCAUUGAACAUCUGCGGCAAACCACAAGUUUCAUCGAGGAUGCUGGUCUGAUAGUGUAGGGCAAACGAAGAAGUUUAUAAACCAACUGAUUUUGUAAACUUGACCAUCAGCUGUGGAAGUUUUGUUUCGGCAGUGAAGAACAUGAGGUUCAGUACUGAUGGAUUACACCAAUUGUUAGGAAUCAUGGACAGAGAGCAAUGCUUAUAUAAAAGUUGAGGAGUAAAUGUCAAGUGGAGGCUGUGGAAGCUGUAGAACUGUAACCUGGUUCUGAAGAGGUUAGAAAAAAAUGGUAUUGUUCACCUGUUAGCAGUUGAGGACAGAACAAAAAUAACAAGUUCUACAAAGACUGAAGUUCAGUGUUUGAGGGAAAUGUGGACAAGAAGGGAUGAUGAUUCACAUGGUUCCUUUAAAGAUACAGGAGAGUAGAAUGGACAAAUGGAUGACAUGCUGGUCAGAAUGAGGUUGACAGAUGAAAGGAGUUUACAAGAACCAUUAGAUGUGUGUUUAGGUGAAACUUGAUGGUGUACUUAGGAAGACGGACCUCGGCUGGCACGCAAGUAACCUGGCAACUACUACCUAAGGCAUGGACACAGAUAAUCGACUUACAGGUCCUUCAUGUGUCUCCAAAACAAAGCUAAUAUAUUGGAUAUUAAAGUGUACUGGAUUUAUACCAGUAUCCUUUGUUGGAGUGCCUCGAUACAAACGGGGGAAGUUACAAGAACAGAACAGAACAGAAUGUGGAGAAGCUUGAAAACUGGCAGUUUGUCAGUUGCUCUAGCAAACAAGAAGAUGGUAACAACUGUGGCACUUUAGUCAUAAUGAAUGCUGAGGCCAUCAUCAAAAACAUACCAACUUUGGUUAUGCGGCAAGCACAUUGUGAAACAUACAGAAAGUAUGUAACAAAAAGUCUUCUUAUGGAAGGGAAGAGAAGAAAUGAAGAAACAUGUGACUUUGUAGAAUCUUGUAGUGGACCACAUAAAAAGUGGAUCCAGUGUGACUGUUGUGGAAAGUGGUUACACAUGAAAUGUGCUCAAGUGAAAAAAGUGGAUCCCAGUUAUAUGUGUGUGUUUUGUUGUGCCUUAUACAAGUGAUUCAGAUUGAAACUAUUCAAGUUCCAAAUUGUAUGACAGUCAAUAGGAAUCUUCUGGACACAUUCCUAGUAUUCACUUGAAUUAAAAGUUAUGAGAUUUUUUUCCAUCAUGAAUUAUAGCAUAUGUCAUGUCACCAACUGUGACCAUGCAUACAACAAUGGACUGGUGUUAAAUGUUGUUUCAAUUUAAUUUUUAGCUUUACUUUUCUAAGUCAUUUAUUGGUAAGUGUUUUUGGUAAAGUCCAAUGUACAUGUAUCUCUAUUAUAACCAAAGCUAUUUACUUAAAACUUAACGUGGUUAUUUACUAUUUAUGUCUACACCAGGAGGAACAAUCCUCACAACUCCAAUUUUAACAUAGUUAUGUUUCUUUUUAAUGUUGAAUUUUUGGGUUUAAGUUUUUAUUUGAUAAAGUGCAAUAGCUCUUUUACUAUCAAAGCUGUUGACAUGAAAUUUAAAAUUUGCAGUAGCUCUUUUACUAUCAAAGCUGUUGACACGAAAUUAAAAAUUUUAUUUACUAUCAAAGUCUACAACAGAAAAAACAAACUCUAUAACACUGAUUCUAAUCUUGGCAGAGUUAUGCCCCCUUUAAACUUACAGUUUCUUUGGUUCAAGUUUUUGAGAAAGUCAAAUAUCUCUGUAACUAUCAAAGCUUUUGACUUGAAACUUGAUAUUAUUUCAAAGUCUGCACCAGGAGAAACAAUUUCGAUAACUUUGAUUGAAUUUUGAGUUAUGCCCCUUGUUAACUUAGAAUUUUUGGUUAAAGUUUCAGAAUUUUUUCUGGCAAAACUCUUAUUCAGAGUCAAGCACUGAAAACUGUAUCGAGAAUAAUAAAGUAUUGAAGGAGCACUUUAUUAAAAAGAGAUGCAAAUAUUUUGAUUGGAAUCAAGUAUUUUGCUUAAGUAUUUAAAGUUCCAUGAGGCUUUAAAUGUUACAUUAAAGACUAAUAGAACAAAUAGAUGUUAUACAUGUAUAUAUUAACAUGGUAAGGAAAGCAGUGCUUUCAAUACUGCACAUAAACACAUGUAGUUGGUUGUAUAUAGGAACCUCAAGGUUGAGCAUUUUUUUAACUCUUAAUAUCCGUCUGUCAACAAUUACUUGUGUGCAUGAUAGUGGUUUCACUUAUGAUUUGAUUUUAUUUAAACUCACACACUACUUGUAUCACAAUACGAUCUUGUUUCCUUUCAUGAUCCGGCCAUAUCUCACCAUAGGUUCGAGCCCUUGAAAGGGAAUAAUGGCUUUUUCGCUAUUGUCUGAACAAAAGUGGUUUCAUAUAUGAUAUGAUUUCAAGCAUACUUGCACACAAGUAUCAACAUAAGAUUUUGUGUUUUUUCUUGAGUUAUGGCAUCCCAUUUAGAUUAAAAAAAUUUAUUUAAGCUGGAAUUCAAGUACCCACUAAUCAAGUAGAUUAAAACUUCACACACUCGUUCCCUGUUUUAUAUGACUUUCAGUGCACAGAUCCAUAACUAUGUUUUUUUUUUUUUACAAAAUAAUGCCUUUUUUGUACUUCACAAUGUUGGGUCAAAUUUUUGUAUACAAGCUCUUAGCUCAGCAUGGGCUUAUGGGAAUAGACUGAAAGUUCACACAUUUUUCUGUAGUGAUGAUAUGACAUGCAAUGCAAUGCAAUUGUUCCGUAACUCUUAUUUGCUUUUAUACAAAUUUUGCCCUUUUAAACACCUGCCUCGGAAAGAGCUGCGCAUAUUAUGUGAACACCCGGGGUGGCUGGUCAUCAUCCAAAGCAUGUUCGUUAUCGAAGUCAAACAGCUAUCAUCCGAUCUUCACCAAAGUUGGUGACAGUGUUUGUGGGCAUAAUAUCUCGACCUAGUUCGAUAACCACCCAAAUUGCCCAAAGCUCUCUUAGAGCCUCGAAUUUUGAAAAAAUUGCAUUGAUUCUUUUUUUUUUUCUUUUCGUUGAGGUGGCGGGUGGGGGGAAGGUUAACAAGGUAUACAUCAUCAACAUUAUUACCUUUAUGAUACUUAAUAUUUUGAACAGGCGUGUUUUGUGUCAGACAGUCUGCCUCUCUUAGUUGACUUUCAUAUUCCCUCCUUUAGUGACAAGGGUGUUGAGUGUUGCUGUCCUACUACAGCUGUUGUUUGACUUUGUGUUGGAAACAGUUUGUGCACCAACUCAUCUUUUUCUGUUAAUGAUUAAAUAAAAAGCCCUAACUUUAUUAAGGUGGGAUGUGGUUGACUUAAUAUAUGUGUACCUAAAAAUUGAAAGGAAUGUUCUUUCAAAUAUAGUAGUACUAGUAUCCACUGACCAGGUUUGUAUAAAAAUAUUUUCCCCACACACCAAUAAGAUUGUUUUUGUCAUUUGUCAGACUAUACAAGUGAAUUUGUCAGAAAUUUUAAUGUCUGUAAUGCUUAUUUGUUACCAGACAUAGAGAAACCACUUCCCUUUUAGAAAUCCUUUCCAUUUGAGCCAGUCUCUGAAAUUACGUAAAUGGACAGGAUUUACGUUGUGUACACAUUGUUAUUCUUUUACAGGAUUUCAAAACAAAAUGUAAAUAUGAGAAGAAUGACAACAAAUUUCACAUGUACAUCAAUGUACUUGGUUUCAGUUGUAUAGAAUAUUACUUUAGGUCGUUACUGUGUAUAACUGGACAUAGAUAUUUUACAUUGUCAAUUGCUACUGUUAAAACAUUAUUUUUUUUGCUGCUUUGUUAUAGAAUUUGUAUAACGUAGUUACCAGUAAUGAUGUUUUAUUGACUUGUCCUAUAAUACCCCCAUGUAUGAUAAUACCCUGAGUGAUAUUGUGUGUUUACUUUAAAUAUACUUUUUUUAAGUGAAUAAAAAGAUCAAAUACUGUCUUGUUUAAGCAUGUUAAGUGCUACAUCACACAUAAGAAAAUGUAAGUAAUGUUCUAUGAAACCAAGUGUUACAUAUCUCUAAACAAUAUGUUAUCAUGAAAGAAAAGGAAAUAAAAUUCUGUUUGUUAGUAUUA